rnacentral:misc_RNA from 1 species
GUUUGAGUCAGCUUGGAGCAUUGGGCGCAUCUUGACUAAUCCAGAAAGCAGCUUGCUGCAGUUUGCAAUCACAGCUGUUGGGUAAAAUCUGCUGACCAAGGAUUUGGACCAAAUAGCUAUUAUUCCUCCUGCAUUCAGGUAAUCACCGUUAGCUGUCAAUUUUGUAUUUAUACGCAGGCAACCUGUCUCUGCCUUGGGAAUUCACUCUUCUUAGAGAUCACGCGAAGCAUAAACAAGUAGUUCAGUAUCAUGAUGUGUAAAGAAUCUCCGUUUUAUGAGUGUCUA